GGUUUAAAGGGAGCGUAGGCCGGAGAUUAAGCGUGUUGUGAAAUGUAGACGCUCAACGUCUGCACUGCAGCGCGAACUGGUUUCCUUGAGUACGCACAAAGUGGGCGGAAUUCGUGGUGUAGCGGUGAAAUGCUUAGAUAUCACGAAGAACUCCGAUUGCGAAGGCAGCUCACUGGAGCGCAACUGACGCUGAAGCUCGAAAGUGCGGGUAUCGAACAGGAUUAGAUACCCUGGUAGUCCGCACGGUAAACGAUGGAUGCCCGCUGUUGGCCUGAAUAGGUCAGCGGCCAAGCGAAAGCAUUAAGCAUCCCACCUGGGGAGUACGCCGGCAACGGUGAAACUCAAAGGAAUUGACGGGGGCCCGCACAAGCGGAGGAACAUGUGGUUUAAUUCGAUGAUACGCGAGGAACCUUACCCGGGCUUGAAUUGCAGAGGAAGGAUUUGGAGACAAUGACGCCCUUCGGGGCCUCUGUGAAGGUGCUGCAUGGUUGUCGUCAGCUCGUGCCGUGAGGUGUCGGCUUAAGUGCCAUAACGAGCGCAACCCCUCUCCUUAGUUGCCAUCAGGUCAUGCUGGGCACUCUGGGGACACUGCCACCGUAAGGUGUGAGGAAGGUGGGGAUGACGUCAAAUCAGCACGGCCCUUACGUCCGGGGCUACACACGUGUUACAAUGGCAGGUACAGAGAGACGGUCCCUUGCAAAAGGGAGCCAAACUUCAAAGCCUGUCUCAGUUCGGACUGGGGUCUGCAACCCGACCCCACGAAGCUGGAUUCGCUAGUAAUCGCGAAUCAG
rnacentral:rRNA from 1 species